AAUAUAUAUACGACAAAAACCUUAUGCAAUACCUAAUUCCCUUUUUCCUUACUUUAGCUCUUCUUUUCUAUUGCAAGAGAGAGAGAGAGAGAGAGAGAGAGAGAGAGAGAGAGAGAGAGAAUGACAGUCACACUCACACACCCACGCCCACGCUGCAGCUAUUGUUGUUGCUGACAAUUGCUCACGUCCACGCCCGUAGCCGCCGCUAUGACUUCUGUUCAAGUGUGCCGACACUGCAGUUUGUAGCUGUUCUCGAUUUGGUUCCUCAUUCCAACUACUAUCCGAUGCCUCUGACUUCGUUCCCCAUUGUCAGCUGUCAAAACUACAUUUCCUAUAUGAGCACAAAUCUUUAACAUUACAUUCUUUUCUUAUCUAAUUUUUGUUAUAAGUUUUUGGAUUUAAGUGUCCAUGGAGAUGGUUUGCACACUUUUGCCUGACUAUCUAAUUUUUAUAUAAUUCUGUGACAAUAUUGGAUUUUGCUUCUCUACUUUGGUAUAAUUGUGCUUGGUUGAAGCUGUGAUAGUUAUAUAAGUCUACAUUUUUCAUCUUUUGUGCGCUCUUGCAAUUCCAAGGUCUGGAAGCGUCUAUAAUUUUUUAUUUUUCCCACUACGAUGACGUGUCAAUAUAUCCUUGUGUGCUUUGUUGUCUAUUGACAGAGGGAGGUGGUUUGUUUUAUGUGUGCUAUGUGUGGCAAGUUUAGGGGUUUGGGGAUCAUGAAUUUAUAUUGGAACUCUCUCCACCACCUUUUCGGUUGUUAUGCCUUCUUUUGUUCUUGUGUGUGACUUGGGCAUUUUUGAAUUGUGUGUGAUUGAGCUGUUAUGGAAUAGAAUCUCUAAGCAUCAAGUAAAUGUGGUAAUUAUAUAACUGGCCAAAGUUGGACUUGAUAAUUUAGAAGAUAUAUUCCUAAAAAAGAAAAGGUAGAGAUAUAUUUAUUAAAAAUUUAGUUGCGUAGCAGUGGGCACUAAUGGUGAAGCGGGGGAAAACACCAUGGUAUAAGGAGUAGCUUCUCUUUGACUUGCUUUUUGAAAGAAUGCUACCCUUUAGAAAAGUUUGCAAAAACAUAGCAUGCAGAGUUGCCCAAUCAGUUCUUCCUUUUAAUAAUAAUAAUAACGAGGAUUUUAGUUAGGUUGUUGUUUCAGUAACUAGACCUAGACAACAGAAAUCAUUGGUUCACAUCUCAAACCCCACAGCAAUCCAUUUGAUUCUAUAAAUCUCCAAGCUUUUGCUUCCCAAUUUAUUGACUCUUCUGCACAUUAA
rnacentral:lncRNA from 1 species